GACGAACGCUGGCGGCGUGCUUAACACAUGCAAGUCGAGCGGGGAUUAAUUGUGGAAGGUUUCGGCUGGAAGCGAUUAAUUCUAGCGGCGGACGGGUGAGUAACGCGUGAGCAAUCUGUCCCAGACAGGGGGAUAACACUUGGAAACAGGUGCUAAUACCGCAUAAGACCACGAGGUCGCAUGGCCAUGGGGUAAAAGAAUUUCGGUUUGGGGUGAGCUCGCGUCCCAUUAGCUAGUUGGCAGGGCAGCGGCCUACCAAGGCGACGAUCGGUAGCCGGACUGAGAGGUUGAACGGCCACAUUGGGACUGAGACACGGCCCAG
rnacentral:rRNA from 1 species